rnacentral:rRNA from 1 species
AUUGAACGCUGGCGGCAUGCCUUACACAUGCAAGUCGAACGGCAGCACGGGUGCUUGCACCUGGUGGCGAGUGGCGAACGGGUGAGUAAUACAUCGGAACAUGUCCUGUAGUGGGGGAUAGCCCGGCGAAAGCCGGAUUAAUACCGCAUACGAUCCACGGAUGAAAGCGGGGGACCUUCGGGCCUCGCGCUAUAGGGUUGGCCGAUGGCUGAUUAGCUAGUUGGUGGGGUAAAGGCCUACCAAGGCGACGAUCAGUAGCUGGUCUGAGAGGACGACCAGCCACACUGGGACUGAGACACGGCCCAGACUCCUACGGGAGGCAGCAGUGGGGAAUUUUGGACAAUGGGCGAAAGCCUGAUCCAGCAAUGCCGCGUGUGUGAAGAAGGCCUUCGGGUUGUAAAGCACUUUUGUCCGGAAGGAAAUCCUUGGCUCUAAUACAGUCGGGGGAUGACGGUACCGGAAGAAUAAGCACCGGCUAACUACGUG